CCCUUAGAUGUUCUGGGCCGCACGCGCGCUACACUGACGAAUGCAACGAGCUUAUAACCUUGGCCGAAAGGUCUGGGUAAUCUCCAAAUUUCGUCGUGAUGGGGAUAGAUUAUUGCAAUUAUUAAUCUUCAACGAGGAAUUCCUAGUAAGCGCGAGUCAUCAGCUCGUGCUGAUUACGUCCCUGCCCUUUGUACACACCGCCCGUCGCUCCUACCGAUUGAAUGGUCCGGUGAAAUCUCGGGACGGCGGCUUGGUCGCUUGCGUCCGACUGCUGAAACUUGAUUAAACCAUAUCAUUUAGAGGAAGGUGAAGUCGUAACA
rnacentral:rRNA from 1 species